rnacentral:tmRNA from 1 species
GGGGGUGACUGGCUUCGACGGGAAUCAAGAGGUCAACAGAGCGUGUCGAGCUCUCGGAGUCUCGUAAAACCUUCGGGAAAAACUUAAUUGCCAACGAACCUUU